rnacentral:ncRNA from 1 species
GCCAUCAGUGAGAUACCACUCUGGAAGAGCUCGGAUUCUAACCUUGUGUCAGACCCGCGGGCCAAGGGACAGUCUCAGGUAUACAGUUUCUAUGGGGCGUAGGCCUCCCAAAAGGUAACGGAGGCGUGCAAAGGUUUCCUCGGGCCAGACGGACAUUGGUCCUCGAGUGCAAAGGCAGAAGGGAGCUUGACUGCAAGACUCACCCGUCGAGCAGAGACGAAA